UACGUAGGGGGCAAGCGUUGUCCGGAAUCAUUGGGCGUAAAGAGCGUGUAGGCGGCUCGGUAAGUCCGCUGUAAAAGUCCAGGGCUCAACCCUGGAAAGCCGGUGGAAACUGUCGAGCUAGAGUCCGGAAGAGGCGAGUGGAAUUCCUGGUGUAGCGGUGAAAUGCGUAGAUAUCGGGAGGAACACCAGCGGCGAAGGCGACUUUCUGGCUGCUAACUGACGCUGAGACGCGAAAGCUAGGGGAGCGAACGGG
rnacentral:rRNA from 1 species